GAUCAACGCUGGCGGCGUGCAUGAGUCAUGCAAGUCGAACGAAGGAUCGGGCUUGCUCGAUCCUUAGUGGCGGACGGCUGAGUAACGCGUAGGUGACCUACCCCGAAGUGGGGAAUAACUGCCCGAAAGGGCGGCUAAUACCGCAUGUGGUCGCACGUUCAUUCGUGCGAGUAAAGCCGCAAGGCGCUUCGGGAGGGGCCUGCGUCCGAUUAGCUCGUUGGUGGGGUAAUGGCUUACCAAGGCGACGAUCGGUAGGUGGUCUGAGAGGACGAUCACCCAGACUGGGACUGAGACACGGCCCAGACUCCUACGGGAGGCAGCAGUCGGGAAUUUUGCACAAUGGGGGAAAGCCUGAAGCAGCAACGCCGCGUGAGUGAUGAAGGCCUUAGGGUUGUAAAGCUCUUUUGCCAGGGAUGAUAAUGACGGUACCGGGAGAAUAAGCCACGGCUAACUACGUG
rnacentral:rRNA from 1 species